rnacentral:rRNA from 1 species
AUACGAAGGGGGCUAGCGUUGUUCGGAAUUACUGGGCGUAAAGCGCAUGUAGGCGGACAUUUAAGUCAGGGGUGAAAUCCCGGGGCUCAACCUCGAACGGGGGUGCCUUUGAUACUGGGUGUCUAGAGUGUGGAAGAGGUAAGUGGAAUUCCGAGUGUAGAGGUGAAAUUCGUAGAUAUUCGGAGGAACACCAGUGGCGAAGGCGGCUUACUGGUCCAUUACUGACGCUGAGGUGCGAAAGCGUGGGGAGC